rnacentral:rRNA from 1 species
CCUACGGGGGGCUGCAGUGGGGAAUAUUGGACAAUGGGGGCAACCCUGAUCCAGCCAUGCCGCGUGUGUGAAGAAGGCCCUCGGGUUGUAAAGCACUUUCAGUGAGGAAGAACGCCUGGUGGUUUAUACCCAUCAGGAAAGACAUCACUCACAGAAGAAGCACCGGCUAACUCCGUGCCAGCAGCCGCGGUAAUACGGAGGGUGCGAGCGUUAAUCGGAAUUACUGGGCGUAAAGCGCGCGUAGGUGGCUUGAUAAGCCGGUUGUGAAAGCCCCGGGCUCAACCUGGGAACGGCAUCCGGAACUGUCAAGCUAGAGUGCAGGAGAGGAAGGUAGAAUUCCCGGUGUAGCGGUGAAAUGCGUAGAGAUCGGGAGGAAUACCAGUGGCGAAGGCGGCCUUCUGGACUGACACUGACACUGAGGUGCGAAAGCGUGGGUAGCAAACAGGAUUAGAUACCCCUGUAGUC